CCUACGGGGCGCACCAGGCGCGAAACCUCCGCAAUGCGAGCAAUCGCGACGGGGGGACCCCAAGUGCCACUCUUAACGGGGUGGCUUUUCUUAAGUGUAAAAAGCUUUUGGAAUAAGGGCUGGGCAAGACCGGUGCCAGCCGCCGCGGUAAA
rnacentral:rRNA from 1 species